UUUUAGCUAAAAGUCGGCUACUGACUUCUGUCUUUUAUAAUUCAUACAUUUAAAGAUUUGACGCUGCGGUGACUAGGGUGUCCCCGGAUGUGUGGACAGAGUGCUUGACAUUUCUCGAAAUUCGUUUAUUUGGUGAGCUUAGACGGAUCACGUCGAGCCUUUGAUCUUCCACACGAGUGGAACUGGACAAGAGAUGUUUCUAGACUCUUGGAAGCCUGAAAGCUAGAGAGUCUAAACCCUGCAUGCAGUGGUAAGUAUAAGGCUGACUGGAUCUCUGGAUUGCCUGUGGAUCAGCUCACCUAUGGAUGGCUAAACUUGAGGUCCCGUGUCCCAUCCCACAGCAGCUUCCUCUGUACCCUAAUCUGCACAUCUCUGAGUAUGUGACUUCAUUCCCUGAUGAGCCCCACCAAGAGUCUUCUACCCACUAAGUAAGUUGGACUUAUUAAAACACUCUUUA